CCCCCACUGGCCCUAGCCUAGUCCCACAGUGGACGAGAAACCCUAGAUGACUCAACCCUGGAACCGGAGUUUAGAAACUCUAGAGAAUUCAAAAAACUGUACACCAUUCUCAAGGAACACGUAUUGUUUUAACACCAGAACUGCUAGGCUUCUCAGCCUCCAUGCACCUGUUAAAGAUCCGGCUGUCGGCUGCAGUGUCCUUUAGCCUACGAAUCAGGUGAACAUACUGUUUUGUUAUUAGAGGUGUGACAUCCUGGCUAUACUCGUGAUCGUAUCCGUAAACUGACAGUUGGUGAUCGUAUCCGUAAACUGACAGUUGGUGAUCGUAUCUGUAAACUGACAGUUGGUGAUCGUAUCCGUAAACUGACAGUUGGUGAUCGUAUCCGUAAACUGACAGUUGGUGAUCGUAUCCGUAAACUGACAGUUGGUGAUCGUAUCCGUAAACUGACAGUUGGUGAUCGUAUCCGUAAACUGACAGUUGGUGAUCGUAUCCGUAAACUGACAGUUGGUGAUCGUAUCCGUAAACUGACAGUUGGUGAUCGUAUCCGUAAACUGACAGUUGGUGAUCGUAUCCGUAAACUGACAGUUGGUGAUCGUAUCCGUAAACUGACAGUUGGUGAUCGUAUCCGUAAACUGACAGUUGGUGAUCGUAUCCGUAAACUGACAGUUGGUGAUCGUAUCCGUAAACUGACAGUUGGUGCUCAUGAGCAGAAAAAAACUGAAGGGUUUUAUUGUGCUGAUGUAGAUGUUGACAAAAUACCAAUGUCCCUGCAGGUUUAUAGAACAAAACAGCUGCAGAUUAGUAGCAGCGCACGGAGAGGUGUCUGUUUAUUGUCCUCAGCAGGCAGACAUGUUUGUGGUCAGAAUGCUCAUCAGCGGUUCUUCUUUCCCUACUCUCACUUUGCUUGCUAGAUAUUAUUCACAUUGAUGGCUUGCUAGCAUACGUCCUCACCUAUGGAUGUAUCAUAGGGGGACGACGACACGCUGUUGGCAGUAGUAGUUGCUUUCUUUGUUCAAUAUCCUUCAUCAUUAUUACGCUGUUCUAAAUUCAAUCAUCUUCAUCAUUAAGUUAAUUAAAAUGUAAUUGUAAAGCCAUGUGCACAAUUACCAGUUUCUAUCAGCCAUUCAUCUAUUGACAGCAUUCAUUCAGCGAGGAGAGAGACAUUCGCGUCUGGGUACCAGCACCCAGCUGCCCGUUUUGUCUUGGCACCUUAAUAGGGAUGUAAUGGUUCAUCAAUAUGCCUGAUUUUUAAUAUAUGACUGCAUCGGUCAGAAAAUCUAUUCAAACGUUAUGAAUCGCCAAUUCACUAAUGUUUUUUGCUGAUAUUACCUUAAAAGGUAUUUUCCUAUCUUCUGUGACGUCUUGAACUAAGCAUGUAACUGUGUUCAGUCAUUGAUCUACAAGUAAUUUUGUGCUGAACAACCCCAGGUAAUAUCAGUAGCCUAGUCAAACUGCUGCACUGUGCCCAGCUUCAUGCUGAACAACCCCAGGUAAUAUCAGUAGCCUAGUCAAACUGCUGCACUGUGCCCAGCUUCAUGCUGAUCAACCCCAGGUAAUAUCAGUAGCCUAGUCAAACGGCUGCACUGUGCCCAGCUUCAUGCUGAUCAACCCCAGGUAAUAUCAGUGGCCUAGUCAAACUGCUGCACUGUGCCCAGCUUCAUGCUGAACAACCCCAGGUAAUAUCAGUGGCCUAGUCAAACUGCUGCACUGUGCCCAGCUUCAUGCUGAUCAACCCCAGGUAAUAUCAGUAGCCUAGUCAAACUGCUGCACUGUGCCCAGCUUCAUGCUGAACAACCCCAGGUAAUAUCAGUAGCCUAGUCAAACUGCUGCACUGUGCCCAGCUUCAUGCUGAACAACCCCAGGUAAUAUCAGUGGCCUAGUCAAACUGCUGCACUGUGCCCAGCUUCAUGCUGACCAGACUGAGGUAAUAUCAGUAGCCUAGUCAAACUGCUGCACUGUGCCCAGCUUCAUGCUGACCAGACUGAGGUAAUAUCAGUAGCCUAGUCAAACUGCUGCACUGUGCCCAGCUUCAUGCUGACCAACCCCAGGUAAUAUCAGUGGCCUAGUCAAACUGCUGCACUGUGCCCAGCUUCAUGCUGAACAACCCCAGGUAAUAUCAGUAGCCUAGUCAAACUGCUGCACUGUGCCCAGCUUCAUGCUGAACAACCCCAGGUAAUAUCAGUGGCCUAGUCAAACUGCUGCACUGUGCCCAGCUUCAUGCUGAACAACCCCAGGUAAUAUCAGUAGCCUAGUCAAACUGCUGCACUGUGCCCAGCUUCAUGCUGACCAGACUGAGGUAAUAUCAGUAGCCUAGUCAAACUGCUGCACUGUGCCCAGCUUCAUGCUGAACAACCCCAGGUAAUAUCAGUAGCCUAGUCAAACUGCUGCACUGUGCCCAGCUUCAUGCUGACCAGACUGAGGUAAUAUCAGUAGCCUAGUCAAACUGCUGCACUGUGCCCAGCUUCAUGCUGACCAGACUGAGGUAAUAUCAGUAGCCUAGUCAAACUGCUGCACUGUGCCCAGCUUCAUGCUGACCAGACUGAGGUAAUAUCAGUAGCCUAGUCAAACUGCUGCACUGUGCCCAGCUUCAUGCUGAACAACCCCAGGUAAUAUCAGUAGCCUAGUCAAACUGCUGCACUGUGCCCAGCUUCAUGCUGACCAGACUGAGGUAAUAUCAGUAGCCUAGUCAAACUGCUGCACUGUGCCCAGCUUCAUGCUGACCAGACUGAGGUAAUAUCAGUAGCCUAGUCAAACUGCUGCACUGUGCCCAGCUUCAUGCUGAACAACCCCAGGUAAUAUCAGUGGCCUAGUCAAACUGCUGCACUGUGCCCAGCUUCAUGCUGACCAGACUGAGGUAAUAUCAGUAGCCUAGUCAAACUGCUGCACUGUGCCCAGCUUCAUGCUGAACAACCCCAGGUAAUAUCAGUAGCCUAGUCAAACUGCUGCACUGUGCCCAGCUUCAUGCUGACCAGACUGAGGUAAUGUCAGUAGCCUAGUCAAACUGCUGCACUGUGCCCAGCUUCAUGCUGACCAACGGCCUGUUCUGAUCUUAAACUUCUGCACAACACCUUCAGCUUUCAAAUGCUAAAAUGGCUUGUGGGAUAUUAGGUUGUCACUCAACUAAUAAAGCCUAUGUAAUUUGCUAUAGGUUAUUAUCUAUGUGCUGUUGAAAAUUGUGUUUUACCAUAAUAAAAUUAAGUUACCGGAGACCACUCAUCUGGCUAUUCCUGCUGAACUGGCUUACAGUAGAUUUUUAUUUUGCUUCUUCAGGUUCACCAUCAGUAAUAGUUUUGCUUUAAACAAUCAGUAUUUUAUGGUCAUUUUUAGAUAUACAGGUUCAAGUUUAAAAACAUGUUUUAUUUAUUUUAAUUUUAUGUCAUAACGAAGACCGCAAUCAUUUUGCGAAGCGGACUGACUGCAUGGCCAAAGCAGGAGGAGAAAAAAUAAGCUCACUGAACUUCCAAAUGGUGAAAAACAUUCGAGAACACCUUCCUAAUAUUGAGUUGCACCCUUCCUUGCCCUCAGAACAGCCUCAAUUCAUCGGGACAUGGACUCUACAAGGUGUUGAAAGCGUUCGACAGGGUUGCUGGCACAUGUUGACUCCAAUUUUUCCCACAGUUGGGUCAAGUUGGGUGGUGGACCAUUCUUGAUACACAUGGAAAACUGUUGAGUGUGAAACAGUGUUUAAUUUACUGAUGUCUGGGUGGACUUUCAGCAUUUUCUGGAGUCGUCACCUUAGCUGCCUCGUUAGCUGCCUUGUCUUCUCCAGACACGCUUUUUUCCAGAUGCCCCAAACAAUCGGAAAGGGGAUUCAUCAGAGAAAAUGACUUUGCCCCAGUCCUCAGCAGUCCAAUCCCCGUACCUUUUGCAGAAUAUCAGUCUGUCCCUGAUGUUUUUCCUGGAGAGAAGUGGCUUCUUUGCUGCCCUUCUUGACACCAGGCCAUCCUCCAAAUGUCUUCGCCUCACUGUGCAUGCAGAUGCACUUACACCUACCUGCCUGCUGCCAUUCCUGAGCAAGCUCUGUACUGGUGGUGCCCCGAUCCCGCAGCUGAAUCAACUUUAGGAGACGGUCCUGGUGCUUGCUGGACUUUCUUGGGCGCCCUGAAGACUUCUUCACAACAAUUGAACUGCUCUCCUUAAAGUUCUUGAUGAUCUGAUAAAUGGUUGAUUUAGGUGCAAUCUUACUGGCAGCAAUAUGAAGCCCUUUUUGUGCAAAGUAAUGAUGACUGCACGUGUUUCCGUGCAGGUAAACAUGGUUGACAGAGGAAGAACAAUGAUUCCAAGCACCACCCUCCUUUUUGAAGCUUCCAGUCUGUUAUUCAAACUCAAUCAGCAUGACAGUGAUCUCCAGCCUUGUCCUCGUCAACACUCACACCUGUGUUAACGAGAGAAACACUGACAUGAUGUAAGCUGGUCCUUUUGUGGCAGGGCUGAAAUGCAGUGGACAUGUUUUUGGGGGGAUUCUGUUCAUUUGCAUGGCAAAGGGGGAUGUUUGUAAUUAAUUGCAAUUCAUCUGAUCACUCUUCAUAACAUUCUGGAGUAUAUGCAAAUUGCUAUCAUACAAACUGAGGCAGCAGACUUUGAAAAUGCUUAUUUGUGUCGUUCUUAAAACUUUUGGCCGCGCCUGUACAUGCAUCAUUUAGACAGACACAUUCAGCUCCAGUUCAGAGAGGCCCACCUCGUGAGCUCAUCAGCAGCAGAUUUGAAUUUAGAAUGGUAAAUUAAUGUGUUUAAAGAUGCACAUUCCUACCCCUUAAGAUAGGAAGAGGUGUGAGGGGGAAAAUAAAUGUAAAUAGGCUCUAAAUACUUUGCUCAGCUGUCAGAAUUUUUAUAACACAAUGUAAAAUAAAACGAUAUAUAGGAAAAGUCAGUGAAAGGAGGACAUUGCUUUCAAAAUCGCAGAUUUAUUUUAAUUACAACAUCUAUUGGCAUGGGGCAUUGGCCUAUGUCAGUUCUAGUGUGAAAAGGUGAUGUUAGUUGCAGUUUUUACCCCAGCUAAUGUACCCCUCAUUGGAAGGGGGCCCAGUCUUGUGUGUGUUGAAGCUUUUGAUGGUUAAAACGAGCUUUCUACAAAAUGUUACAAUUCUUAAUCUCUUUAU